UGCAGGCCUUAUCAAAGCUGCAGCUGCUUUUCUGUAGCCGCUGUGGUCAAAGAGGAGCUCAGAGUGACAGGUUUUCCUCACGGUCGCCUUUCGGGUUUGCUGUAGCAGGUCUGCAACAUUGCAGGGAAAGACAGCC
rnacentral:snoRNA from 1 species